rnacentral:tRNA from 1 species
UAUGGCAGACUAAGUGCACAGGACUUAAACUCCUAUCAUAAAGAUUUACUCUUUUAUUAAAA